AUUAAGAAGCACCAGCCAGAACCCCAGUAGUUCUGAAAAUGAGGUCCAAGGACAAGCAUUGCUCCACAGAUGGAAGUAUUCUGAGACUAUGUAAUAAGAAACAUGUGCUGGAACUGUGGGAUGCCAAGUAAUUAGAGAAGCCAAAGCUCGGUGAAGGCACUACAACAGCAACAGCUUCUGUGCUCCUCUGCACAAAGGUGUCUGGCCACGGGGACAGUAAGCUGUUAUGGAUGCCUUUAUGACUCUGCAUACAAACAGAGCUUCCUGACUGAGGACAAGCAUGUCACACCCAUGACAAGAAGAA